CCCCACUGCUAUCGGGAUAGGACUAAGACAUGCUAGUCGAGCGCUUCAGCCAAAACGAGGCGCGGCAUACAGCUCAGUAACACGUGGCUAACCUGCCCUUGGGACGAGAACAACCCCGGGAAACUGGGGAUAAUUCUCGAUAGGUGAAGAACUCUGGAAUGAGUCUUUGCUUAAAAGGCGUUGGAUCAUGCUUUCAGCGCCGCCCAAGGAUGGGGCCGCGACCGAUCAGGUUGUUGGCGAGGUAAUGGCCCACCAAGCCUUUUACCGGUGCGGGCCGUGAGAGCGGGAGCCCGGAGAUGGGUACUGAGAUAAGGACCCAGGCCCUACGGGGCGCAGCAGUCGCGAAACCUUUGCAAUACACGAAAGUGUGACAGGGCUAUCCCGAGUGCCAUCCGCUGAGGAAGGCUUUUACCCAGUAUAGAUCGCUGGGGGAAUAAGGAGAGGGCAAGUCUGGUGU
rnacentral:rRNA from 1 species